AACCAACAGGAGCAGAGAAUUUAAACUACCAAUCAGAGCCACGCAUGAGAUGAUAUAUUUCCAAAGUGAAACUAUCACGGAUAGAGAAGCAUAAUCUUCUUUUGCUAGAAUAAUCUUUAUGGAUUAAGUGAUGUUAUGGAAAGGAACCCGCAACUACAGCAAUACCAGUGACUUAUUACAGCUCAGACAGUCGUGACCUGUAGAAUAGUGCAUGCAUUCAAGCUGGCAUGGACUCCAGCAGUUUGUGGUGCCCUCCGGAGGGGGAUUUAUCCUGUUUGGAAUGCAGGGAUUGACCAGCCACAACCAGCUGAAUGUGAAAGUGAAAGUGAAAGUGUAGAUUUUCAUUAAAGGACUUAAGUAUCUGAUAUGUUUCUCACCCACACAUAUCAUAUCGCUUCAGAAGAGUCAUAUGGAUUAAUUUUAUGCUGCCUUUAUGUCUCUUUUGGACCUUCAAGUUUCUGUUCCCCAUUCACUUGCAUUGUGAGGACCAACAGAGCUGAAAUAUUCUUUUAAAAAUCUUCAUUGUGUUCAGCAGAAGAAAG